UCCCUGGUGGCUCAGAUGGUAAAGAAUCUGCCUGCAAUGCAGGAGAUCAGGGUUCAAUCCCUGGGUCAAGGAA
rnacentral:tRNA from 1 species